GUUAAGCUGCACUAAUUUUUCGGGCGCUAGGACCCAGGUGUUGAACAGCAACAAUGUGUAUCACUACCUGCUGUAAACAUGGUUACUAGUGUCUAGUGCACACAGGUUAGCAGUAGAAAGGAAGAAACCGCUUUUACUAAGCAUUUACUGUAUGUGUUCCUUUUGUUAAAAUAUUUGGAAAUGUCUGCUACUUGCUUAAAAUAUCCAAACACAUCCAGGUUUUACGGUUGGUUUGAACUGAGGAUGUUAUCAGCCGCUCUUGGGCUUUACGGAGAUUAAAGAGGCAAAAUUGGCUUUCUCGGUUUACGAGAGCUUGGAUCAAAAAGGUAUGAAGCUGAGCCAGCGGACGUUGCUGAGAGCAUUCAAGAUGUGCGGACGAGCGAUCGCUCCACUGAAGCUCGCACACAGAAUUAAGCACCUGAGGGCUGGCUUUGCUGAAGAAGGACGACUGCAGCUCUAUGAGUUCCUUGACCUUCUGCCCCUCUGUGAGCCCCAGGAUAAUGUUCUCAUCCGGGAUAGCUGGGCUGGGUCGACGGAGAUGAUAAAAGGAAACACGUACAAGCUGGAUAAUGACUCUUCCCUCCUGGGGCCUGAGGACCAUAGAGUGGGUCAGCAUCUGAACCAGUGCUUCUUGAAGGAAGAGUGGGAUUAUGGGAUAAUUUCCACAGAGAGUCGCAAACUGACAGAACCUUCAUUGCUGCCCUCUUUCUGGCUGCAGCAGGAGUCUUUGGUGGGUGCGCAAAACCAGACUUGUACACAAACACAGAGUUCUCAAGAGGCCUACUCCAUGCAGGUAAAUCCUUCUCACACUCCAUUAUCUCUCCUGUGCACAUUAUCUGUGGUAAUGGAUAGGCAAUUCUGUUUUCUUUACAGAAUAAUACCAGAAAAGACAUCAUUAAGUUUGUUUAUGAUAGACAUUUG
rnacentral:lncRNA from 1 species